CAGUAGCCGCGGUAAUACGAAGGGGGCUAGCGUUGUUCGGAAUUACUGGGCGUAAAGGGCGCGUAGGCGGCCAUUUAAGUUAGAUGUGAAAGCCCUGGGCUCAACCUAGGAAUUGCAUUUGAUACUGUUUGGCUUGAGUUCGGGAGAGGUGAGUGGAAUUCCCAGUGUGGAGGUGAAAUUCGUAGAUAUUGGGAAGAACACCAGUGGCGAAGGCGGCUCACUGGACCGACACUGACGCUGAGGCGCGAAAGCGUGGGGAGCAAACAGGAUUAGAUACCCCAGUAGUCCCUGUCUCUUAUAA
rnacentral:rRNA from 1 species